CUCCACUCUUUUAAGUGUAUAUAACGCAGCGAUUAAUUCUGUUGAAUGCGGGCUGCACGGCACAGCACAGCGCGGCGGAGGAGUGAAAUUUCACUGAGAUUGAUUUUCUAGGUUUUCAAAUAAGGGGAUUGGGGAAAGGGGGAAAUAGGGAAUUUGGGGGGAAUAAGUGGUCGGUGAUCGACGGAGAGGAUGAUCAGUUGAAGUUAACUGUCGUUUUUAUAUCAUUUACUAUGCAAUAUAUGGGUGUGUGGAUUUCGGCUAGGUGUCAGUGACAAGUGACAACUUGUUAUGGUCCUCGUAUUCGUUCUCCUGGUGCUCCAUCUCCACUCUUUUAAGUGUAUAUAACGCAGCGAUUAAUUCUGUUGAAUGCGGGCUGCACGGCACGGCACAGCACAGCGCGGCGGAGGAGUGAAAUUUUACUGAGAUUGAUUUUCUAGGUUUUCAAAUAAGGGGAUUGGGGAAAGGAGGAAAUAGGGAAUUUGGGGGGAAUAAGUCGGUUGGUGAUCGACGGAGAGGAUGAUAAGUAGUCCUCUGUUCUAGUUUACAGAACCUAUC
rnacentral:lncRNA from 1 species